rnacentral:sRNA from 1 species
GGUUUAAUUACCCAAGUUUGAGGUACUACCAAUUAAAGAGGCAGAAAGAACCCUCAGUUUUUGCCACAGUUGAAGAAAGUCGGCGACAAAAGUCGUGAAAA